rnacentral:rRNA from 1 species
CCUGCUCAAUGAUAUCUAAAUAGCCGCUUUAAGUGCUAAGGUAGCACAAUAAAUUGCUCUCUAAUUAAGAGAUAGAAUGAAAGGAAACACGAUUUUUUAGUUGUAUCAAUAUAUCACUAUAAAUUAUAUAUAUACGUAAAAAUUCUAUAUAAAAUUAGAAGGACGACAAGACCCUAAUGAACUUUUAUUCUAAUUUGUACUGGGAAGGUAAAAAACUAUAUCUUUUUUAUUUAAUUAAUAUACGCCUCAAUUGAAUAAAUAUAAGUUACCGUAGGGAUAACAGCAUAAUAAUUUAUUAAAGCCCUCAUAUAAUAAAUUGUUUAUGACCUCGAUGUUGAAUUAACUACCCUUCUUAUAGAAAAAAAUAAAAAAGGAAGUCUGUUCGACUUUCAAUACGUUACAU